GCCUUUGACACGUGAUUGAACUUGGUAAGUUUUGUGUAAGUUUAGCCGGUGGUUCUGUUUUAUGUGAUGUUGACGUGUGAUUGUAAAACCUCUAUUUCGUGAGUAAUUUAACACCACUUUAAAAAAACACGGUCAAAACAAUUCUUUGUUAUGUUCUAGCCAUGAGUUUACCAAUCAAGUUUGGAAUACAUUCCAGCAAGAAAAUAACAAAAAAAAAGCCUUGAAAAAGUAAUCAGCAUCAUAUUUCCUUAUUUAGUUUAACAUAAAAAAAACAAAAUUUACAAUAAAUUUCAGCAGAAUAAUACCAAAAUUCAUCAUAAUUCACAACCAAAAUAGUGUUAAAAAAAUAGUAUACUCGAGUAAUGUUAAUUUUCACCACUUGAAGGUCAACUGAAACUAGUACUCCCUCCGUCUC
rnacentral:lncRNA from 1 species